rnacentral:rRNA from 1 species
CACGUAAAGAACCUGCCUCAUAGACUGGGACAACUAUUGGAAACGAUAGCUAAUACCGGAUAACAGCAUUAACUGCAUGGUUGAUGUUUAAAAGUUGGUUUUGCUAACACUAUGAGAUGGCUUUGCGGUGCAUUAGCUAGUUGGUGGGGUAAAGGCCUACCAAGGCGACGAUGCAUAGCCGACCUGAGAGGGUGAUCGGCCACACUGGGACUGAGACACGGCCCAG